UACGUAGGGUCCGAGCGUUGUCCGGAAUUACUGGGCGUAAAGAGCUCGUAGGUGGUUUGUCGCGUUGUUCGUGAAAACUCACAGCUCAACUGUGGGCGUGCGGGCGAUACGGGCAGACUGGAGUACUGCGGGGGAGACUGGAAUUCCUGGUGUAGCGGUGGAAUGCGCAGAUAUCAGGAGGAACACCGGUGGCGAAGGCGGGUCUCUGGGCAGUAACUGACGCUGAGGAGCGAAAGCGUGGGGAGCGAACAGG
rnacentral:rRNA from 1 species